GUUGAACGCUGGCGGCGUGCCUAAUACAUGCAAGUCGAGCGAACGGACGAGAAGCUUGCUUUUCUGAUGUUAGCGGCGGACGGGUGAGUAACACGUGGAUAACCUACCUAUAAGACUGGGAUAACUUCGGGAAACCGGAGCUAAUACCGGAUAAUAUUUUGAACCGCAUGGUUCAAAAGUGAAAGACGGUCUUGCUGUCACUUAUAGAUGGAUCCGCGCUGCAUUAGCUAGUUGGUAAGGUAACGGCUUACCAAGGCAACGAUGCAUAGCCGACCUGAGAGGGUGAUCGGCCACACUGGAACUGAGACACGGUCCAGACUCCUACGGGAGGCAGCAGUAGGGAAUCUUCCGCAAUGGGCGAAAGCCUGACGGAGCAACGCCGCGUGAGUGAUGAAGGUCUUCGGAUCGUAAAACUCUGUUAUUAGGGAAGAACAUAUGUGUAAGUAACUGUGCACAUCUUGACGGUACCUAAUCAGGAAGCCACGGCUAACUACGUG
rnacentral:rRNA from 1 species